GGGUUGUGAGGUUAAGCGACUAAGCGUACACGGUGGAUGCCCUGGCAGUCAGAGGCGAUGAAGGACGUGCUAAUCUGCGAUAAGCGUCGGUAAGGUGAUAUGAACCGUUAUAACCGGCGAUUUCCGAAUGGGGAAACCCAGUGUGAUUCGUCACACUAUCAUUACGUGAAUACAUAGCGUAAUGAAGCGAACCGGGGGAACUGAAACAUCUAAGUACCCCGAGGAAAAGAAAUCAACCGAGAUUCCCCCAGUAGCGGCGAGCGAACGGGGAGGAGCCCAGAGCCUGAAUCAGCAUGUGUGUUAGUGGAAGCGUCUGGAAAGGCGCGCGAUACAGGGUGACAGCCCCGUACACAAAAGCGCAUAUGCUGUGAGCUCGAUGAGUAGGGCGGGACACGUGGUAUCCUGUCUGAAUAUGGGGGGACCAUCCUCCAAGGCUAAAUACUCCUGACUGACCGAUAGUGAACCAGUACCGUGAGGGAAAGGCGAAAAGAACCCCGGCGAGGGGAGUGAAAAAGAACCUGAAACCGUGUACGUACAAGCAGUGGGAGCCCCACCACCAAAGCAUUCUCUGGUGUUGAAGGCCCUGCAAAGCAGCAUCGCGGUGGCGGAGCGUCGUUUGCGACGCCCAACACACAAAACAAGCGGUGAGUGCUUUGGGGUGGGGUGACUGCGUACCUUUUGUAUAAUGGGUCAGCGACUUAUAUUCUGUAGCAAGGUUAACCGCAUAGGGGAGCCGGAGGGAAACCGAGUCUUAAUUGGGCGUUAAGUUGCAGGGUAUAGACCCGAAACCCGGUGAUCUAGCCAUGGGCAGGUUGAAGGUUGGGUAACACUAACUGGAGGACCGAACCGACUAAUGUUGAAAAAUUAGCGGAUGACCUGUGGCUGGGGGUGAAAGGCCAAUCAAACCGGGAGAUAGCUGGUUCUCCCCGAAAGCUAUUUAGGUAGCGCCUCGUGAAUU
rnacentral:rRNA from 1 species